GCCAAUCAAAAAGCAGCAUUGCUGUAUCCGGGUAGAUUUUGAUAUCUUGCGGUUUGACUACAGGAGAGGACAGACACUCGCCGUAAUAGAGCAGGUUUUUAUAAGGACGAGAUAGACCCGAUGAUUACAGUAAGUCAGUAACCUACACAUGCAGAGACCUCAACACCUCAUGGCAUAUGAACUCAUAUGAUAAACUAAAGCCCUAUGCUAUUGCUAUUAACAGCUGUAUUGACGGAUUUAGCCUCCGUACAGCCAUUUCCAGCCAUUUUCCCCUCCACAAAAGCUGCAUUUCUCAUAUAUCUCAAAUAUAAGUUCUGAUACUCAUGACAGUGUAAUGCUCAUGUACCAAAGGAUUAAGUAUCUCCAUGUUUGUGAAACCUAUACUAAAGUAAAAUUCAUCUAAAUGCUCCACAGUGCAGAUUUUAACAACUUUACGACUUAAUACUUAUACAUUAAUGAUUUUAUUCUCCCAAAUAACAACUUUAUUCUGUAAGAUAUAAAAACAUUUUUUUCUAAUUGUGCCCCUUGUGCUCCGUUGUAUUUAAGAGAUAAUCAUACUAAUAGUUAUCUUCCCCCCCCCCCCCCCCCCCCCCCGGAAAUCUCACUCUAAGCUUAGUUCAAAACUUGAGAGCCCUGACAUUACCUAAAGUUGCCAUUUGACAAUAAGCAAUGCAACACAUGCAAAAGUAAGUGUUGACAGAGAUCCCAGUCUUCAGUGGAUGUCCCAGUUGGCUCCAAGAAGUUAUGUACCCUGUAAUAACCCUGUUAAUGUUAAACACUUGAUUCUAAUGACAGCUGAACUGGUAAGUGUAUCUUUAAGUUUUCAACACCUUUUAAGUAACAUCAGUCCUAUGUGGGUGGUUAUAUUUACCAAUGAUAACAUUGUGACGUUUGCCUCAUGUGUGUAUUAAAGUGUUAAUGUCAGUCAAUCUCCUAAGCAGGCUGUUAUGGCUUUGUCACAGAGUUGAGGUGUUGCUGGCAGUGGUAUUGGAGGAACCAAAUGUUAAACUGUUUUCAAAAAACUAUAUAUCUUAAGUUAGUAACCAGGUAAUGUGUGAGAUAAUGUAUACUGGGCAUGUGGUGGUUAUGCUGAUUAACAUCUGGCACAAAAUAAGUCAUAGGGACUUUUUCUUUUUCAGAAUCUUUACUUUCGAUACAUGGGUGUAGCUGUUUUUUUCUUUGAAGUGAAUGAUUUUUAGAUUGUUAUACUCAUACCUCAAAGUAAAGUUAUGAUUGUUUUUCCUCCGAGCCUUAAACUCUAAAGGGAUGUUUACACCACUUACAGUGUACAUUCCGCACAUGCGCACUCAUGCACACACAGAUUACUUACAAGAAACUGUCUGACCCUUACUGCAUUUAGCUUUUAUAUGGCCCAGUCACAACCCUCUCUCUUAUCUGCUUCCUGCAUCAAGUCCGAAUAGUGCAGAGAGGCCCACGCUGGAGCAGACUGAAGCUGACACAGAGGGUAGCGUCUGGGGGAGCAGAGCCACUGUCUCCCUUGGUCAGGGUGGAGGGGGAAGCACUGCUGCCUUAUCGCUCCUAUAAUGCAGCACAGUCCAGUGAGCACAGAGGAAGCUGGGCCAGUGCUGGCAGACUGUGACGCUGUCAGAUCCUUACUGGAAUCCACAGCAAGCGGCAACAGGGACUCUGACUCAUCUUUUUUCUUGUACGAUAACAAGAACAAAUUUAGUUUCAGGAUGAUCAAAAUAGGAAAAAAUUAUGUAACUGCUGAAUGCAGGCUAAGCAUUUUCUGGGGCAAAGUAGCUUUGAGUUUCAUAUCCUGUAAAAUAACUUUUCUGAGAGGAGAAAUGCUCGUAUAUAUAGAGGUCUGGUAAAUACAGUAGCAUUAUAAGCUGAAAAAUGUUUUCAUUAUCUAGGCUAAAAAAUUCUAUCAUCUAUGGAUAACUUUGAGCUUACUCUUUCAAGAAUUCAUUCAUCACAUUCAGCUAACUGGCUCAACAGUCCAGUAACAUCUACUUAGCAAGUUCUACCAUCAACUGCGACAUGAAGCCCCUGCUUUUUGAACUUUUUUAAAACUGAACUCUCAGCUAACUUUUUCAAUAAUUUGCUGCUAAUGCUAACUCUGACAGUUAACCUUUCCCUCUAUCCAUUUCUUCUACUUGGUAUCUUCAAUAGCUCCCUACACUACAUUAUAAUCAAGUACUGUCAGCUCUUUUAGGUUUUCAUUCACUAUUUUUAGCUAACUACUUCCACCUUUUGUGUAAGCUUGUAAGCUCAGCCAGCAUAAAGCUAUGAUCAGUUAGCAUACGCUUUUUAUUGCUGUCUUGUACACUGAUUUAUAAGAAAACAACAAAAAGCUAAUCAUUUAAACUUAACAUAGCAGCAGUGGAACACACAGUUAAGGAGGAAAUGAUCACAUAAGCCCAGAUCUCUUCUGAUGUUAUUCACUGUACGCAGAUAUCCUCAAAUAGAGGAGCGGCUGAUAGCGACCUGCUUCAUAAGAAAACUUCUUUACCUUGUUGGAUAAGGGAGUGUCCAGGUGAGCAGAUCAUGUUGUAUUUUUACAUACUUACCUUUUAUUUUAGCCAUAUACAUUGGCUUUUUGUUUGUAAGUAGACUAGCACAAAGAUCGGCCCCUGGACCUGUACCCAAAAUUGUAUAUAGACUUCAACUUUGAUCACAAAACAGUGUUUUAGCUUUGAUAUUUAAACAUAACAUUUAACAUACAAGUAUAUCAAAUAUGAUCUUUGAUGUUAAAUAGUUAUUUUUGUUUUAAUAAGAUUUGUGAGCUUACCUAAGUAAGGAACAAACAAACGAUGGACAACACUCAAAAGUAAACCCCCUGAUCUUUUCAAAAUCUCAGUCUUAGUGUUUAUCUCAGUGACCUUUAGUGGAGUUUGCAAUGAGUUUGUUUUGUUUAUCUCAUCCGUUCACACGUGGUUAUUUUUUUAAUGUUUUCAUACUGUGUGGGCCUCUCUUCUCUUUCUUUCUCCUCAGCCUCUUUUCUCUACCACAGACUUCGCCACUGCAGAGCAUGUUUCACAUCUCCUCCCACGCACUCGCUCACUGUGGCACACCAGAGAGCUUCAGAGCUGCAUGCUCUUUCUGUUUUCUCUCUGCUUCUCUCUGUGUCUGUCCCUGCAUCUCUUUGUCUCUGUGUCAAAUAAGGACUGUUAUCGAUUGGGGAAAAAAUCAAGGACAGGAAGGACAUGUGAAUUAAACGUGAUUUGGUUGAAAGUAGAUUUAUACCUUGAUCCAAGCAGCCAGACUUGUGGACUUUUAGGUUUUGGUUGCAAAACGUGCUUCAGUGUCUCAUGAAUGCCUGUGUGAUCCAAGUGUGUUUUUUUUAUUCUUAUUUCUUUGACAAACAAGGCGGACUUCUGUGCCUCUUGUGUCCCCACAGGGAUGUUCCCUUCCAUAGCUGAACCAUUGUCAGCUAGCUGUGCGCUGGAUGAAGAGCCCAGAGGAAUUAACACAAAUGUCACGCUGGUGCCAUGACUUCAAACACAUCAUGAUAAAUGUGAUGUGACACUGACAACUGCUGUAGACACAGAGGAAUCACUUAUUGUUUUCUCACUGACAGAAUAUUUCUUCUAAAGGGUUGACAUAAGAAAAUAAGACGACUAC